rnacentral:rRNA from 1 species
GGGAUAGCCUCUGGAAACGGAGAAUAAUACCCUAUGAAACUAUCUUAUCGCAUGAAAAGAUAGUCAAAGUGUUUUAGCGGUGUAAGAUGGACUUGCGUCUGAUUAGCUAGUUGGUGAGAUAACAGCCCACCAAGGCAACGAUCAGUAGCCGGUUUGAGAGAGUGUACGGCCACAUUGGGACUGAGACACGGCCCAG